AGAGUUUGAUCCUGGCUCAGGACGAACGCUGGCGGCACGCUUAACACAUGCAAGUCGAACGAGAGAAGAGGAGCUUGCUUUUCUGAUCUAGUGGCGGACGGGUGAGUAACACGUGAGCAAUCUGCCUUUCGGAGGGGGAUACCGAUUGGAAACGAUCGUUAAUACCGCAUAACAUAAUUGAACCGCAUGAUUUGAUUAUCAAAGAUUUAUCGCUGAAAGAUGAGCUCGCGUCUGAUUAGCUAGUUGGUAAGGUAACGGCUUACCAAGGCGACGAUCAGUAGCCGGACUGAGAGGUUGAUCGGCCACAUUGGGACUGAGACACGGCCCAGACUCCUACGGGAGGCAGCAGUGGGGAAUAUUGCACAAUGGAGGAAACUCUGAUGCAGCGAUGCCGCGUGAGGGAAGAAGGUUUUAGGAUUGUAAACCUCUGUCUUCAGGGACGAAAAAAGACGGUACCUGAGGAGGAAGCUCCGGCUAACUACGUGCCAGCAGCCGCGGUAAUACGUAGGGAGCGAGCGUUGUCCGGAAUUACUGGGUGUAAAGGGAGCGUAGGCGGGAUCGCAAGUCAGAUGUGAAAACUAUGGGCUUAACCCAUAAACUGCAUUUGGAACUGUGGUUCUUGAGUGAAGUAGAGGUAAGCGGAAUUCCUAGUGUAGCGGUGAAAUGCGUAGAUAUUAGGAGGAACAUCAGUGGCGAAGGCGGCUUACUGGGCUUUAACUGACGCUGAGGCUCGAAAGCGUGGGGAGCAAACAGGAUUAGAUACCCUGGUAGUCCACGCCGUAAACGAUGAUUACUAGGUGUGGGGGGACUGACCCCUUCCGUGCCGCAGCAAACGCAAUAAGUAAUCCACCUGGGGAGUACGACCGCAAGGUUGAAACUCAAAGGAAUUGACGGGGGCCCGCACAAGCAGUGGAGUAUGUGGAUUAAUUCGAAGCAGCGCGAAGAACCUUACCAGGUCUUGACAUCGUAUGCAUAGCUCAGAGAUGAGUGAAAUCUCUUCGGAGACAUAUAGACAGGUGGUGCAUGGUUGUCGUCAGCUCGUGUCGUGAGAUGUUGGGUUAAGUCCCGCAACGAGCGCAACCCUUACUGUUAGUUGCUACGCAAGAGCACUCUAGCAGGACUGCCGUUGACAAAACGGAGGAAGGUGGGGAUGACGUCAAAUCAUCAUGCCCCUUAUGACCUGGGCCUCACACGUACUACAAUGGCUGUCAACAGAGGGAAGCAAAGCCGCGAGGUGGAGCGAACCCCUAAAAGCAGUCUUAGUUCGGAUUGUAGGCUGCAACCCGCCUACAUGAAGUCGGAAUUGCUAGUAAUCGCAGAUCAGCAUGCUGCGGUGAAUACGUUCCCGGGCCUUGUACACACCGCCCGUCACGCCAUGGGAGUCGGUAACACCCGAAGCCUGUAGUCUAACCGCAAGGAGGACGCAGUCGAAGGUGGGAUUGAUGACUGGGGUGAAGUCGUAACAAGGUA
rnacentral:rRNA from 1 species